rnacentral:rRNA from 1 species
UACAGAGACUGCAAGCGUUAUUCGGAUUCACUGGGCGUAAAGGGUGCGCAGGCGGCCAAGUGUGUUAGGCGUGAAAGCCCGAGGCUUAACCUCGGAAUUGCACCUAAAACUACAUGGCUAGAGUACUGGAGAGGGUAACGGAAUUCACGGUGUAGCAGUGAAAUGCGUAGAUAUCGGGAGGAACACCUGUGGCGAAAGCGGCUCACUGGACCACAACUGACGCUGAGGCGCGAAAGCUAGGGGAGCAAACAGG